UAUGGUCAGCUGCUGUUGUGUUUAUUGGUGCUUAAUAAAUACAUGAAUGAAUAAAUGGAAACAGUGCAAGGAAGGAAAAUGUAAAGUUUUCUCCUUUUCAAGCAGACAAAUUUUUUGAAGGGUCUAAAGUUAGAAGGCAUAGUUUGCCAUAUCGGUGAGUUUUCUGUGCCGAUGAGAGCACAUUUACAGAGCUUCUCCCUAUCAGCUUCAGCUGUAUCCUUUCCUGCCCAGUGGACUUGUGGCUCCUGCUCAUCUUUUCCAAUCUUAUCUAUUCCAUGGCGUGAAGCUUCUUGGCAUCCCACAUAUUCACUCGAACCUGUCAUGUCCUCCUCUGUUUUUCCUGUUCUUCACCCCCACACCUUUUCUGCCAACCCGCUCACAUGCAGUAGUGUCCAAAAGACCACACUGAAAAUUUGGUUUCUUCGCAAUUCUAAAAUCCAGAUUUAAAAGAAAGAAAUGUUAUGCCAUAAGUGAAUCAUAAAUAUUAUAUUUUGCACAUUUGUGUAGACCAGGGGUAUUCAGUUAAAUUCUAAGAGGUCCAGCCUUUUUAUUUUGUUCCCAGUGGAGGUCCAGACAAUACAUUUAUGGAAGAGUUAUACAUUUACAUGUGGACAGCAAUAAUACUUUGUAAAAUAAAAUAAAA